AAGCACUCAAACCUGUAACGCGUACUUCAUACCGGUCCUUCCGGCGGAACGACAUAGUCACCACAUGCAGCCACACGCUGGCCCAUGUGUGGGGCUCGCAACACCCAAUAGAUCUAUCACUCAUGCCCCUCGGUCCUUAUACAAGGAUUAAUGGUCUUACGAUAAUAGCCUACCCAUUCACGUGAUCUAGCAGUAAAUUCCCUAGCUAAUCAUACCAUGUAUAAAAAGGUCUGUAAAUGUCUGUAAAUGUCUGUAAAAGUCUGUAAUAAUUGUAACAUGUAUUUCACCCC
rnacentral:lncRNA from 1 species